UUAGAGGCGUAGCUGAUGGUUAGCCGGUUAAUAUUCCGGCCCUAACAUACGGACGUUAUUACCCAUACGGGGACAGUGGAACAAGAUGCAGGCGGUCAUGUGGAUCGACCGUUCAAGGGUGUAGGGCAACCGAGACCUGAGUACGAGGCUGCGGGGUAACCCAAAGUCAAGCUGUGUGGAGUCGACACUCGAUAAAAGCCGUAUUGGGGAGACCGUAUGGUAUCCGUACCGUAAUCCGACACAGGUGGGCGAGGCGAGUAGCCUAAGGUGAACGAGUGAAACGUGGUCAAGGAACUCGGCAUAAUUAUCCCGUAACUUCGGAAGAAGGGAUGCUUUCGCCGGUGUUCUUAUUUACUGAGAAUGCUAGCGAGAGCCGCAGUUAAUCGGCCCAAGCGACUGUUUAGCAAAAACACAGGUGCGUGCAAAGCCGCGUAAGGCGCCGUAUACGCACUGACGCCUGCCCGGUGCCGGAAGGUUAAGGGGAGAGGUUAGCCGCAAGGCGAAGCUUUGAGCCGAAGCCCCGGUAAACGGCGGUCGUAACUAUAACGGUCCUAAGGUAGCGAAAUUCCUUGUCGGGUAAGUUCCGACCUGCACGAAUGGCGUAACGACUUGGGCACUGUCUCGACCACGUGCUCGGCGAAAUUGCAGUCUCGGUGAGGAUUCCGAGUUCCCGCAGCAGGACAAAGAGACCCCAUGCACCUUUACUGUAGCUUGUCAUUGUUCAUUGCCCUGUGCUGUGUAGAAUAGGUGGGAGCCGUUGAGGUCCAGGCGCUAGCUUGGGCGGAGGCACCAGUGAAAUACCACCCUGCACUGUGCGAUGAACUCACCAAGUACGAGAAAACCUCGGCUGGGACCGUGGCAGGUGGGCAGUUUGACUGGGGCGGUCGCCUCCGAAAGAGUAACGGAGGCGCGCGCAAGGUUCUCUCAGCGCGGUCGGUACUCGCGCUUAUAGAGUGUAACGGCAUAAGAGAGCCUGACGGUGAGACGGACACGUCGAGCCGCCACGAAAGUGGGCCGUAGUGAUCCGGUAGCCCGGUGUGGAUCGGCUAUCGCGCAACGGAUAAAAGGUACGCUGGGGAUAACAGGCUUAUCGCGCCCGAGAGUUCACAUCGACGGCGCGGUUUGGCACCUCGAUGUCGGCUUGUCACAUCCUGGGGCUGGAGGAGGUCCCAAGGGUCCGGCUGUUCGCCGGUUAAAGUGGCACAUGAGCUGGGUUCAGAACGUCGUGAGACAGUUCGGUCUGUAUCCGCUGUGGGCGUUGGAAGGUUGAGGGGUGUGGACCCUAGUACGAGAGGACCGGGUCGAACUGCCCGCUCGUGUCCCGGCUGUCUCGCCAGAGGCACCGCCGGGUAGCGAUGGCAGGCGCAGAUAACCGCUGAAAGCAUCUAAGUGGGAAGCUGCCCCCAAGAUGAACCUUCCCUGGAGCCUUGAGCUCCCUUAAGGGCCGGGAGAGACUAUCCCGUCGAUAGGCCGCACGUGGAAGAGUGGCAACACUCUCCGAGCGAAGCGGUCCUAAUCGCCCGUGAGGCUUGAUUAC
rnacentral:rRNA from 1 species